rnacentral:sRNA from 1 species
AGUUCAUCGGUGAACAGGGAGUAGAAUAUGGACAGUAUUGAAUAAUGCCAGAUACUAAAGGAAGAAAACGUGCGAGAAACCCUCUUGUUUAUACAGGAUAGUAACAUUUUCUUAGCCCCAUCUUCGUAUGGUGCCGUACACCUGAAAUGAAACUAAAUAUGUCUUUAAUUUGAAGUCAACGAUUAUGUUACAAAAUAGAAAGUCGAGUCGCUUAAAAAUCAAAUGCCAAGGUCACACAGCAGGUGGAGAGUCACUCUCUGAAAGAGAACGAAGUAAUUUUCUGAAGGGAAGCUGCAGAAUAUGGAAAACAUAUAUUGGAGCUACAUGGACUAGGAGACACUUUCCUGGUUAUGGCCAGAGAGUGAUGUGACUAUGGAAGAAUGGCUUUGAAGAUGGAAUAAAGGGGCCAUGAGCCAAGAAAUCUGGAAGGCUUCUCAAAUUUAGAAGGAACAAGGAAAUGAAUUCUCUGUUAAAGCCUCCAGAAAGGAUCAGAGCCUUGCUAAAACCUUGAUUUUUAGCACAUGAUAAGUAGUAGAACAGCCUACUUUAAGGAAGAAGAAAUGUUAGAAAGUUUAGGACUAGGAAGUCUGAUGAGAAAGUAUAUGGAUGGACCUAUGGGACUCGGCACAAAGUGUAAAGAUUUUUGCAUUACAAGUGAACACCAACCAUAAAGGAUAUAUCACAAAAGAGGUACUGAAUAAACAGAAUGACUCCAAUGGUUGGCAUCAACAAGCUUCUGUCCUCAAAGCUGGAACAAUGGGCACAAGAAGGGUAGUCAUCAUGACUGUGGAUGGCCCCACAGCAUGAGCUCUCACUUACCAACAGUGAUUUGGCUAUUGCUGCUGCCAAAUGUCCAACCUGUCAGGAACAGAGACCAAUAUUGUGCCCUUGAUAUAGAAUCAUCCAUGGAGGAGAAUCAAAUGACAAGUUAAUUACAUGGAUCCCUUCUAUUAUGUAAGUGGCAAUGAAUGAUUCAUCUUGAUUAGAAUUGACACAUAUUUCAGGUAUGGAUUUUCCUUUCCUGCCAAUAGUGCUUCAGCUGCUUCCACCAUACUUAUGGAGUGUUUGAUCUCAUGACACAGGAUCUUCCCAAUAUCACAUCAAACAAAGAGAUUCAUUUUAUUGCAAAAGAGAUGUGGUAGUGAGCACGUGACCAUGUGAUUCACUGAUUCUUUCACAUAUCACUUCACCCAGAACUGUAAACAAUUGCCGGCCGGAUAGAGCAACGGAAUGGCCUGUCGAAGAAUCAGCUUAAGCACCACCUUAGAUACAAUAAUACCCUAUGCAGUAUACCCUCUGAAUCAAUGGCCAGCAUAUGUUGCUGUGUUCCCAACAAAUAGAAUUUAUGGAUAUGGGAAUCAAAUGUAGAAGUAGAGGUGGUCCUGUUUACCAUCAUUGUCAGUGACCCAAUUGGGGAUUUUGUGCUAUAUCCAUAGCUCUGAGAUUUGUAGGUUUAGAGGUAUUGUUCCCAAAAGGUGAGCAUUUCCACCAGGAGACACAGCAAGAGGCCCAUUGAACUUUAACCUAUGGCUGUCACUGGGGCAUUUCUGCCUUCUACUGCCAAAGGAUCGGGCAACGAGAGCAGUCACCAUCCUGGCAGGUUUAUCAUUCUAAAUACUGGGAGGAGGUCAGGCUGCUCUUAUACAGUGAUGGCAAAAAGGAAUGUAUUUGGCAUCUCUUGGUAUGCCCUUGCACAACUUUGACAGUAAAUUGACUAGUAAAGUAUUGAUGACCUGAGAAAGGUAUGGUGACUCUCAAGGAUGAGUGACUGGAUCAUCCCACCAGGUAAGCCAACAAGACCAGCAGAGGAGCUAGUCAAGAGAGGAUCACAUGAAGCCAAGAGUUGAAGACCAGCCUGGGUAACACAGUGAGACCUCCUCAUCUCAAAAUAACCCAGUGUGGUGGUCCAGCAUGGGUGACAGAGACCCAUCUCUAAAAUUAAUAAACAAAUAAAUCUC